UACUGAUUUGUUUGCUUAUAUCUGAUUUCCACUUUUGAUGAAUAUAUUGAGAAUUGGAAUGGAGAUUCCAUGAAAGUGGCCCCAUACUUUUUCUGUUUCACUUAUUAAGUUACUGAUAAGGUAAUAUACUAAACCAUGUCUCUUAUCCGGUUCUAGAAUAAGUGUCCUUGAACAAAUUUCCAGUUUACACAUUGUUGAAAGACCAUCCUCUGUAGACAAAACAAAUGGGAAAUUACCACCAUCACCAACAGUUCACCACUACCUCCCAAUAUCCACCGUACACGGGGUCACCAGUUACCACUGACCAAUCGAGACUCAUGGAAAAGUUGUUUUCAGAAUAUUGAUUGAGAAUCAUUCAACUUAUGUAGUGUAUACUUCUUGGUGGAAUUUAGGUAGAUGUUGGGAAAAUGGAUGGUGUGCAAUGGACUAAUGGAGAACAAAAGCACAGGUUAAAUAGAGUGAAUCAGAUUCUUUUAUAUACCACCUUUUCUACUCAUUAUGGAGAGUUCCUUUUCUACUUAGGCUAUCCCACUACCAAAAGUUCCUUUAAACUUUUGUCAUGCUUAUGCUAUAAACAUAUGCACACUUUUUAUAUAUACACUUAUUGGAGUAAGUUGCUAUUGGUAGAAAUGGAACUCUACUUAUUAACUUGCUUUUAGGAUCAGCAGUCAUGCUGUUGUGUGCUUCCGCUAAUUAUCAGGUUCAAACAUUUGUUUAAAUGGGAGAUGCUUUUGCUCUUUAGUUCUUGUUAGUGCCAAAUGCGCAGUUUUUUUGUUUGAUAGUAGAUAAGCAAAUAAUGUAUAUCACACAUCCUAUUUAUCAGUAUCGUGUUAAGUAAAUUAUGAAUAUAUGAAGACGUAUAAUGAUAGUGGAAAGAACACAUGUUCCACAUCCUGUUAAUUAGUAUCCUUGUUAAGUUAGUUAUGGUUUAUACUUCUGCACACCACUGCACAAUCCCGUGCCCAUAGCCCCAUAGCUAACCAAACACUGGUCAGUAGUACGUUUAUGGGGCUCGAUCCCGAUAAAUUUUACUUCACCUGGCACGAAGAGCUCAAAUAGAAGCUUAAAAGUUAUUUUUAACGAAAUUUAUGCUAGCAUGUUUCAUGAAAUUCUAGUAGAAGUUAUAACCUUAAACUGUCUUUGUCACAUAAGGAAUACUUUGAUGACCCCUUGAAUGGACUAGAUGCUUACAAGUUUUAUUGCAUGUAAUCAGUUAAGCAUCAGUGCUUUGCUUAGAACUUCUCUUUUAGAGUUUUAGUCUGAUGGCCUGAUUUCUAGUUUCCGUCAUUUGCUUUAACAAUGUGUGAAACUGUACUCCAUUUAGAGAAAGGAAGCUAACCUAUUUAUAUAGUUCAAUAAUACAAUUAAUUCACUUUUCUGUCAAUAUGCAUUUUAUGAAGUCUUGGAAGAACUCUGACAUGAAAACAGAGCAAAAUCUUUAUUAUGUUACUUGUUGGAAAUCUAAAAAUAGAAAUAAUAUUGGAUGGUGGGCCUGUACUUGAUGUUAUGUGGCUAAGUGGUGCAUAAGCUGAUGCUCAUCUAUUUCUCUCGAAAUGGAGAAGGUGAUUAAUUUAUUUAUUUAUUUUAUUUUAUUGUGGGAGGAGGAAAGUAAUUGAUGUCCUGUUAUUGGCUGACAGUAACUUUUUUGUAUUGCUAUUACUAUAAAAGCUAUGCAAACCUCAGACUUGAACCUCUGUGAGAGAUAAACCAUUUGUCUGCACACUCCUAUACACUCUACAACCCCUCUUCUCCUCCUCCUACUCCUUAAUAAGAUCUCAGAGAAAUUCAAAGAACAGAAGAAAGAAGGGAAAGCCAUGGCUGUUGGUCUAAGGCUUCUUUCUCAAUUUCACACGGAUAUACCUGCAGCCAAUAAUGCAGGACUACAUUCUAGCCCAUCAGAUUAUGUCGUCAUCUUGGCUGCUCUCUGUUGUGCUCUUAUCUGUGCAGUUGGCCUUGUAAUGGCAGCACGUUGUGUUUGUCUCCACCGCCCUCUCAACCUUUUCAUGACGGCUCCAGUCCUUCAUACCUCACCACCAGGUCUCAAUAAGAAAACCCUCCAGUUACUACCAACUACUAAGUACCUUUGUGAAGCAGGUGAUAGUAACAAACAGGCUGACGACUGUGCCAUCUGUUUGACAGAGUUUUCUGAUGGGGAUAUGAUGAGGAUUCUUCCACGAUGUGGCCAUGCAUUUCAUAUAACCUGCAUUGAUACAUGGCUUGGGUCCCACUCAUCAUGUCCGUCUUGUAGACAGUUGGUUCUGGUGGUUGGUAAAUGUCAUCACUGUGGUGGAUUUUCUGCUCACCAGGGCUUCCAUGGCACUGCCAAUGAUGUUCGUACGAGAGAGAUUGAUGUGGUGUGCAGGCAAGACUAUACCCUGACUCAGGCAUGAUGUCUCGGAAAGUCAGUCACAACUCUGCUUAAGGGUAGCAUGCUAUACAAAAUACAAACAGAAGAACUGUUGGGGCAACACCAAUGAUGGAUGGCUCGCUCUCAGUAUUCCAAAAAUAAACUCCGGUUGAAACCUGAUGGUCUGCAACAGAGGAACCAAGUUCCAGUGGAGAGAAGUAUUGGAAGAAAGUUAGAGAGGUAUUUCAGGUAUAUUGUAUGCUUCCCCCAUUGAUAGUAUAUUCAAUGUUAGAAAGUUAAGUCAUUUUUCAGAAAUUUAGGACUCAGAUUAAACCAUACUAAUAUCAGAAAAGUUUCAGAAAUUGAACAAUCUGCAUCAAGAUUCAAUUUUUUGUAUAAAACCAGCAACUGUGGAAAACUAAGAAGAAACAGCUCAAUGUUGUGGAUGGUUUUAUAAGACUACCAUUACUGAAAUACUACUGAAAUAAUGCUGCCUGAAAUUUUGUAAUUUAACAGUCUUUAAGUUUUCAGAAAUGCUGUAAUCAAAGAAGUUGCAACAGAACUAUAUACUUUGAUUGAUAAACAAUACCAGAGUUUGGGAAGGAAACAACCCUUUCCCGGCCCUUAGCAAAACAAUAAAAACGGGUGUAACAGAUGUAAGUUGUUCUUUUUGUCUUAAGGUUGUCUUGCCCCUAGAGCAAAGAACUCAGUAAUUAUCUCAAGGGGCAUGCCCUUGGUUUCAGGAACCUUUAUAUAGAUAAAAA